rnacentral:rRNA from 1 species
AGAGAUGUGUGAUGACGCAUAUCAAUAAGCGGAGGAAAAGAAACUAACAAGGAUUCCCCUAGUAACGGCGAGUGAAGCGGGAAGAGCUCAAAUUUGAAAUCUUAAAGGGUUUCCCUUUACGAAUUGUAGUUUAAAGAAGUGUUUUCUGUUGGAGUUUCGGUAAAAGUUCUUUGGAAUAGGACAUCAUAGAGGGUGAGAAUCCCGUAUUUGACCGUUACUUUCCAGCUGUGUGAUACACUUCAAAGAGUCGGAUUGUUUGGGAAUGCAGUCCAAAAUGGGUGGUAAAUUUCAUCUAAAGCUAAAUAUUGGCGAGAGACCGAUAGCGAACAAGUACCGUGAGGGAAAGAUGAAAAGAACUUUGAAAGGAGAGUUAAACAGUACGUGAAAUUGUCAAAAGGGAAGCGUUUGACACCAGUGUUGUUUAGUUGAAAAUCAAUUAAAUAUUUUUUGAUUUUAAGUAGUAUUGACCUUAUCAGCUUGCUGCUUUUUUCUCAGAAAUUAUUUAAUGCACUUUUCAGUUAACAAGUCAACGUCAAUUUCUUUUGUUGUAAAAAGGUAAGAGGAAGGUGGCUUGCGCUUCGGCUCAAGUGUUUAUAGCCUUUUACCCCUGCAAUCGGAGAGAUUGAGGUCUGCAGCGUAGAUCCUUCGGGGUUAGAUACAUUUGUGCUAAGCUAUAGCCUUGUAUAGACAACUUGUUGACUAUGCUCAGUCAUGUAGCUUACUCGCUUAUGCUAUUUUACCUACGCUUAGGAUGUUGAAGAUGUAGCACAUCAU